UGGGGAAUUUUGCACAAUGGGGGAAACCCUGAUGCAGCGACGCCGCGUGAUUUAGAAGGCCUUCGGGUUGUAAAAAUCUUUUCUAUGGGAAGAAAAUGACAGUACCAUAGGAAUAAGGACCGGCUAAUUACGUGCCAGCAGCCGCGGUAAUACGUAAGGUCCGAGCGUUGUCCGGAAUCAUUGGGCGUAAAGGGUACGUAGGCGGGUAAGCAAGUUAGAAGUGAAAUCCUAUAGCUCAACUAUAGUAAGCUUUUAAAACUGCUCAUCUUGAGGUAUGGAAGGGAAAGUGGAAUUCCUAGUGUAGCGGUGAAAUGCGCAGAUAUUAGGAGGAAUACCGGUGGCGAAGGCGAUUUUCUGGCCAUAACCUGACGCUGAGGUACGAAAGCGUGGGUAGCAAACAGG
rnacentral:rRNA from 1 species